rnacentral:rRNA from 1 species
CCUGGCGGCCGUAGCGCGGUGGUCCCACCUGACCCCAUGCCGAACUCAGAAGUGAAACGCCGUAGCGCCGAUGGUAGUGUGGGGUCUCCCCAUGCGAGAGGAGGGAACUGCCAGGC